CGGGGCGUGGCGAAGCCUGGUUAUCGCACUCGAUUUGGGGUCGAGAGAACGCCGGUUCGAAUCCGGCCGCCCCGA
rnacentral:tRNA from 1 species